CACUGCAACAUUAACAGUGUAGGGCGCAUUUGCCACAACAUAUUCGAUCGGAACUACAAUUCCCAUAUCACCAUGAGAAAAAUCCUUGAGGCUAUGUUUGGACUGCUGAUUGUCCCUGAACCAGAAGAUCCACUGGACAGUAUUCUGGCUGAGGAGUACCUGACCAACCGCACAUCAUAUGAAGAAGAGGCCAAAAAAACAGACUGAGGAAGCUGCAGGGGAGUCUAUGGAGACGAAGGAGAAGAAACUGGUGGAGUCGGCAGAACAGCCUGUACCUCCACAUCUCAUCUGUCCACUGACCAAGAAGCUGUUUGUUGAUCCUGUGAGAACAAGAUAUGAAAGGAUUUAUGGACGGAAGGCCAUUGAAAAACACCUG